UGGCGGCGGUGCCGCUGGCCAUGGCGCUGGCGUUCCUGGCGCUGGCGGCCUACCCGGUGUUCGCGGUGCUGGCCGUCGCC
rnacentral:tRNA from 2 species